GUGCACCAGUGCUUCCUUAUGGUAAAAUCUGUUUUCAAUAUCCUUUUAUUCUGCUUUUAUCUUAUGUAUACACUUAUUUAUAUGGUGAAAAUUAGACACUGACUUUUGUAGCUUGAGCAUGUUUCAUUCUAAUAAAAGAGAAGUCUACCUCUUAUUUCCUACAUGUACUUUUCUCUUAUUUUCUGUUUCUCUUGAUUAUUUAUUAGCAUGCAUUUCUUCCUCCAUAUUCGAAGUACAAUUUGUUUGUACUUUAUGUCUUGUGUCCACUAUCUUCUUAGUGUUUACUCAUUGAAAUUUAUCUUUUAAGCAUAUCUUAGUUAUGUAGCCCUUGUUUGGGAUGUUUGGAUAUGGAGGACCUAUUGCAUCUAUGCAUCUAGGAAGGUAUGAGUUGCACCUUCAUUUGUAUCGUCAUUCUGAUUGAAUAUUCCUAAAUGUUUAGUUUUACCUUUUUUUCAUUUCACUGUCUUGUCAUAGGCAUGUGCUUGUUUCUUCGAAGACAAAGAAUUCCAAGAAAGUAUAAACGUUACAUCUUGAAAGAGAAGCCUUACUCGGUAGUUCUGACAGUGAACAUACUUGGACGAUAACUGAUGGUGGUAUCAAAAAUCCCUCAGAAGCUGAAAUUACGGACACACCCCACAGAGAACUACUCUGUUUCUAUUAUUUUAUACUUUUGGCAUGGUCAAAUUGAGACAGUAUGUGUAUCAAAUAAAUUUAUUAAGACGUAUACUUUUGUAGGAGCUGUAAUAUUCUCUAGGAGCUGUAAUAUUCUUUAGUUUUUAUUCAUAAAACACUUGUACAAUUUCCUCUUGCUAAUUCAGAUUUUGUUUUUAGUUUUUGUA